CCUACGGGUGGCUGCAGUGAGGAAUAUUGGUCAAUGGGCGCGAGCCUGAACCAGCCAAGUCGCGUGAGGGAUGACUGCCCUACGGGUUGUAAACUUCUUUUAUCAAGUGAUAAAGUGUGGCACGUGUGCCCUUUUGUAUGUACUUUAUGAAUAAGGAUCUGCUCACUCCGUGCCAUCAGCCGCGGUAAGACGGAGGAUCCGAGCGUUAUCCGGAUUUAUUGGGGUGAAAGGGUGCGUAGUUGGGUUGUUAAGUCAGUUGUGAAAGUUUGCGGCUCAACCGUAAAAUGGCACUUGAUACUGGCAGUCUUGAGUAUGGGAGAGGGAGGCGGAAUGCGUGGUGUAGCGGUGAAAUGCUUAGAUAUCACGAAGAACACCGAUUGCGAAGGCAGCGUACUAGACUAAGACUGACACUGAGGCACGAAAGUGUGGGGAUCAAACAGGAUUAGAUACCCCUGUAGUC
rnacentral:rRNA from 1 species